UAUAUGUGUGUGUGUGUGUGUGUGUGUGUGUGUGUGUGUGUGUGUGUGUGUGUGUGUGUGAGUGUGUGUGUGUUGUGGGGGUCUCUUUUCUGCUCAGUAAGAGAGGCUGUAUUUUUCACAGACCUUGGGAGCUGUGCCUUUUCUAUGCAAUUAUAAACAUAUUCAUUUUGAGGAAAAACCCACCCACCAACUGAUGAUCACUGUAUUUAACACCAAGGUGUGGACUGUAGAAUAUAUAUAAAAUAUGGACAGGUGUCUAUGAAUUUGAAACAGUCUUACUUUUGUAGUUUUAUAUCAUACAAUAAACUAUUCGAAUUAAAAUGA